CUUCCCAUUUAUUUGCUGCUAUAAUCUCUCAGUGAUAUGAGCAGUUAUACCAAUGGGAUAAAAUUGGGCUAUUAUAAAUUGAGAUGCAAUCACUUUCAUCUCUUCUGCAUGAUCUAGACAUUG
ensembl:snoRNA